GUUAUUGAUUGCUCCAGGUCAAAUGUGAGUGACCUGUGGAGGGACACAAGGAGCAAAAGAUGCUGGCUUCUUGUUUUUUUCCUGAAGCAGAAACUACAGAGGGAGCUGGUUCUUGAACCCCAACUCCAGGCUCCAGCCCACGCCCUGCACGCAUGCUGCCUCCUCUCUUGGCUACUGUUCGGAGCACUCAGCCAGAACCAGGCGGCCAUGUGUCAAGAUGCCAAAUCCUGUCGGUGCUAUUUUUGACAGCAGCCAUGACUUACCACCAAUCCUUGGACUUAGAGGGCCAGGAGGGCCCAUCUUCUCAGACACAUCUGGCGUAGUUCUGUUUUGUCUGCCUUGACAGCAUCCUGGAAAUACCCAAGCUUCCACGAAACAGAAAAUCUGACAAGCACCAGUACCUCAGUGAGGCACAAGUUGAGCAAAGAAUCCAGAAGCAUGAUGAUUGCCAAGAUUCUUGGUUGAAGAUCAAGCUGCUGGAAAAUGUUCUUCUCUGGUUUCAUUCCAUCUGAAUCAAUGACUAUUGAAGUUUUCCAUGUCCUUAUAUUGACUCAACAAGUGUCUCAAGGGUAUUUCCAUCCUCAGUUAGCUCACUUUCUUUGCUUAUUCAUCCCCAGUUGCUGCGUGGACUGAGACAGGAUAUCUGUGAUUAAUGACUCAGUACUAUUUCAGGAAUCGCCACAUUUUCCAUUUGCUGAGUCACCUAGCAGUUUUUUUUUUGUUCACCUGUUAGAUGCAUAGCUGUGGCUCGACACAGGUGACCGGCAACUCCUGAAGCUCAUAUGCAAUUGCAAAACUAUGAUCUAAACAAAGACCUUUUGCAUAUUUCAAUUUGACAAUUUUCUCCCUUUGAAUGAGUUAUUGGAGGACAAAGAUGGAUUUAUCAGAGUUGUCUUUGGAUUGCCAGUGGCUUUCACUGUACCUGGGGCACCAUAAGACAUCUGUAGGCAAUAACCAUUGAAUAAUGAAAUAGUAUAAUCUUGAGGCACCUUGAAGACAGUUUGUGUUUUGUGAGUUGUCAUGGUUUUAAGGAUUGAAAACUCAUUUUAGGAAGAAACAAGCUUAGGCCAAUAUCUAAGAAUGUAUUUAAAUGCCUCGUGAUCAGAAAAUAAUGAAAGAAGCUAGCUGAAUAAAGUCUGCACAGGAUGUAAUCAGCACAGCCUCACUGAGAAUACCUGAAGCUGGUGUUUCCUGCUUCUGUCCCUGGUAUCUUUAUGAUAUUAGCUUUCAAUCCACAUCUGUUGCUCCUACUAACAUCCUCCUUCGAAUACAGGACAGAAUUCCAUGAAAUAAAUACUUGUGCUUGUCAAGAAUCUCUAAGAGCUAUAGCAGACUCAGUGAUUCACAAGAAAGAAUGAUAAGACUAAGCAGGGAGUCAUACAGCUAUAGUUAGUUAUAGUGAUAUGAUAACAGGAAAAAGCAGCACAGUGAGAAGGUACAUGAGCUGAAGUCCAGAGAAGCCAGUUACAAUCUCCAGCAAAUCCUCCCUGGCAACACGGCCACACAUGCUUAAUUCUCCAGCAUCUAACUGUGACAACAGGUAUGAACUGUUGCCUGUAGAAGAAGCUCUUCAGAGACUUAACCUCCAAGGUGUUGACUUGGGCUGGUCACAAGGCACUCUGACCCUAAUACAAAACUUCCAUACUCCUGAGAGCAAAACUGAUGUACAACAAACAUCAUGUUAUGUGUACAAACAAUUUAGAUAGAGUAAUCAUCCUGUCAGAGAACGGUGGGAACACUGUGAAAUUCAAAUUACUAGCUGUCAGCUAAGACCUCCUUACCAAUAGCCUUUUAAACAUCACAGUUCCAAAUAUACUAUGUCACCUCUUUUCCACACACAUGGAAAACAAGCUCAUCGUCUUUCCCCACUCUGGAACAAUACCAGCUCUGCCUGGAUAUUUCCUUAGCUGAUUUAAUUCAGCUCAGAUUCUCAAUCUAGGAAGAUGUUUAAAUUGGGAAAACUUGAAUCCAUUAGUGGCCUGAGAAGCAAAAUCCAACUGAGAAGAAGAACCUGGAGAUAUGAAAGGGAGAAUGAUGAAUGAAAGGGAGGAGGAAGGAGACACAAAAAUACAACUUAUGAACUUCAACAAGGAAUGAAAUGUUUUAUGGUUUGAAAUGGGAAUAACAGCCAGAUUGGUACACAGAUUUAGAGCAAAAUCAUGGGACAUGCUGACUAGUCACUUAAUUUUUGUUAUUAUUAUGUCAAGUUUUCUUACCAAAAUUGAGGCAUUAGUGUGACAGAGUUCUUAAUAGUGAUGAUUUUCUCAUGAACAGUGAAGGGCACUGGAAAGCUAGUUGCUCAACAAUAAGCAAAAGCAUUGGUAGGUAAUAUUAGAAACCUCAUUGAGGAUGAAAUCAUAAUUCUCUCCUAACAAUGUUCAGCCUUUGCACUGGCAUCAAAAACAUAGCUUGGAACAGUAUUCUAUGCUGUAACUUAUUGAAUGCAUGUUAUAAAAAGCAGAAGAGAGGAAAGUGGAGGAUCUCAAUGAUAUUAAUAACAAGAUGAAAAUGGGAUGAGGAAACGCUGACUCUGAAAGAAAAGAAGUACAGCAAGUGUGAAGAGUAGACAGUAUAGAAGUGGUGAUACAAUAAACUGAACUUUUCCUCACAGUAGAUUAUCAGUAUUUAGGAAUUUGAAGAUGGAGAAUCCCAUGGGUUUGCCUUAAGAAGCAGUGCCUAAAAGGAUGACAGAAGGCCAGUGGAGUUGCAGGUGAAGCAGAGAAUUCCAAAGUCACUAGAGAUAGUGCUGCACUCAGAUGGAGCAAAAAUAAUGAUCUCAGGUGCCAGAUUCUUCAAUAGAUGUGUUCAGUCGGCUUCCAAGACAGCAGGAAAUUGAGACAAACAGUAGACACAGAUGUGGUGAGAAGAAAUUUGCUCUAGUGGACCAAUGAUAUCUAGAGGGUAUUUGGGGAAACGGUUUGAAAGCCUCAAUGGACAGUGAAGAAUGUACUUAACCCCAUCUGCGGUACCUACUUCCUGGAGCAUUUCUUUAAGGACUGGAAGGAAGUGGUACAUUUGGGUAUUCUAGAUUGUUUUUGUGAUUCAUCAACUUCAUUGCAUUAAGAAAUGCCUAGCAAGUUAGUAAAGCCCAAGUGCAGGCAUAGCUGGGUGGAUCAGAAAGUGUGACCUGGGUGCUGCACAUGGUCCUUCACUCCUCCCCUGUCUCACAACUCUGACCGGAAGGUCACCAUGAACUAAAGCAUCUUUGCUCCACUUUGUCUUUCUGCCAUGGACUGAACCAUGGACUGAAUCCUUUGAAACCAUGAAGUUGUGAGCAUUGGGUAUCAUGUCCCCCAAGGAAAGCCAACCAAUACAGAAUCCCUUACUGAAUGUUUGUAUUCAAAAGUGUUACAGCAUUUGGAAUAUUUUGAAAUAUUUGUGUGUAAGUAAUAAUGUGUCUUGAGGAUGGGGCCCAAUUCUAAAAACAACAUUCAUUUAUAUUUCAUAGAUACCAUAUCCACAUAGCCUGAAGGUAAUUUUAAUCAGCAUUUUAAGGCACCUGUGUUUUGUCUGCAACUCAUCACAUAAAGUCAGGUGUGUAAUUUUCCACUUGUGGCAUCAUGUCUUGAAUUUGGGGGCAUUAUAGGUUUCAGAUAUUUGGAGGAGAGAUAACCUGCAUAAAGUUCAAUUAGAAAAACAGACCGGGCAACCAAACCUAAGUCACGUUUUACCUCUUCCAAAUCAUUUUCACUGUGAUAUAAAUUGACUACCUAUAGUCAUCUGGCCUCUCUUUUUCAGGGUUAGUAACUACAUCAGAAACUUUUAACAACAAUCAGCAAAUACUUGUAUUUAAGCUAACAUGACAUAGGCAAGUUCACUUUUAUGAAACCUAUUCAUUUUUAAAGAAUGAAUUUAAGCAACCUUGACAGUUAAAUUCAAAUUAUUAUUAAAAGCUACUUUUUAGUUAAAACAUAGGUGCUUCUUAAAGUUUUGCCUGAAGUUAAGCAUAUCCACUCACCAUGGUUUUAAGAUAAGAGUUUCGUGUACAGAUAACUUUAUUCUUGGAAAAAUGUGUGUUUACUAUAAAUAACAUAAAGCAUAUCACCAACAAUAGCACACCCUAAUACAUAUUAAAAUCUGGUUGUCACCUAAGAUUAAUGAGUGGUUAUUUAGGACUGAACACAUGUUAAAACCAUUGGGCCACAAAGUAGCCCAUUAAAAUAGCACAGAUACAAAAGCAUAAUACAGCACAGAAGUAGUUCAGCUAUGGAAAUAUUUAAUCUGUCCAUCACUUUAAAAUUAUUCAAUAUUUAUAAUUCUCAUGUUUUAUGCAGAAAUCAGCAAUCUCUAGGAUCCUGUAUGAGAGUACUAAACAGUUUCAUAUGCUCUCCAGGUGUCUUUCUCAGAAUUACUCCCCUGAAACAUUUUAAAGUGAUAUUAUUCUAGAAAAGCAAUGAUCACUAUAAGAAAUGCAGUAACUGACAAAUACGUUACUCCUACUGGUGUUGUAAUUUCUGUUGAACAUAUGGAGUCACUUAGGGACUUUUUCAAUUUCUCCAGAGACAUAAUAUCAUGAAGUCAUAUAAUAAAAACAAUUAUAGAACUUAAUAAUUUUAGAACUCAGUAUGUCCCUGACAUUACAUCAAGUAGCUCUAUUGUUUUAGUUAAUCCUCAGGAAACAGCAUUAAAAACUGUAAGGUAAACAUUUUACUUUCCAUUUCACAAAUGAAAGAACUAAAGGAUAGAUAAUGGAAUAAACCAACUCACAAAGCUGUGGAAGACCAGCCUGGGAUUUGAACCAGAUUCUGCCUUUACAGUCUGUCCCUGUCAUGCCCUGCGAAACUUAAAAGCCUAAGAGCCAUGGUCAUACUCUCAGCCAGCGCUGAAGGACCUUCAGGCCUUCCUGGGCUCCCAAAGUAUUACCCAUAAAUUACAGCGGUAGAUUAACCUCCUUUAAAAGGCAGACAGCAUGAGGAAAAUUUUAAUUCAUUAACAAAUGAUUCUUUGACACUUCCUUAAUGAGCUGUCUAUGCUUCUGGACAUCAGACAAUGUGAGAAAAGGAAACUUAGGGCUGAUGGUGCCCAGCUUUCUCCUCUGAAGCUCUUCUUUUUUUUUAAGCCGUUUUCAACAUGGAAAAACUGGCUUUGGCUUAAAUCUCUGCUCUGCUCCAGUGUACCAGCUCCUGGCCUCUCUCUUCUGCCAAGGGUCUUCAUCCAUUACCGGCUUUUGACUGUGCCCCUCUUAGCCUUUCUCUGCCUCCUGGAACUGAAGCGAUGAAAGUCAGACUCCUCAGUGAGGCCGACAGCUCAGAAGGGACAUCUUCAUGUGAACUAGAACUUCACUUGACCUUUACAGGCUUGAGAUAAGCAGCAGAGGACAGGAGACAAUGACUCACUUCUGAAUAAACAAGGGUAACUCUCACACCUGUCUUUGAAAAAAUUUGCCCCAGGAGUCUAGAGUCCUAGUGAACAAUCCAAUUCUGAGAUCCCUUCAAAACAAACCGGAGCCAUGUGCAGCCCAAGGGGCAUUAGUUCCAUGGAGAUCAUGGAAUUCUAAUCCUGCACUAGAACUUGAAAGGCUAAUAUUCAUGAUAAAAAGAAAUGUGUAAAAAACCCUAGAACAACAUCCUGGUAGUGAAUGGAGCUAUUCAGAAACAAAACUUUAAAAAAUAAAAUUUUCCCUGAAAUACAAAUUGAAACACUAAAUCUGCCUAUCUAUCCAUUAUCUAUCUAUCUUCGUCAUCAUCAUCUAGGUACUUACCUAUGUAUCUACCCUGUUUAUCUGUAUGUGGUAUAUGUACAUGUGAUGAUGAUGGGUAUUUAGAAAGAUUAUUGUGUGUAUAAAAUAUUUUACAGUCAAAAGUUUAGGAUAUACAUAAGCAUACAAAUUAUUGUUUUAUACCUCUGUAAUGUCAAUUUUUCUUUAAGAAAGUAUGAGUAAUCGUUGAUUUUAAAGUUGCUUUGGGAUUUAGAGACACACAGUUUAGCUAUAGAGUGUCUCUCAAAUUAAAACAAGAAGCAAUCUCUUAGGUGUUUAUGAGCAAUUUUGUGGAAGCACCUCUGCUUUCCUUAGGUAGCUCUUUUCUCAAUUAGCAAACAUUCAAACGUUUUCCACGCUGUGAAGAUUUGGGCUGUGAAAUUAACCUAUCCCCAGCCUCCACUGAGUAAGACCAGGUGUUUCACAGUAUUUCCCUUUAACCUACAGCAGCACUCCUUUAGGGAAGAAGGGAGGAAGUGGGAUUUCUGACAUUUGUACAGUGAAAAAUUGUCAGUGGACUAUCAAGAAAACACCAGAGGCAUUGUAUCGAGAACCAGUGAACAUGAUCUAGUAAGCACUCACUUUUUAAAUGUAAUACAAGACUCAUCUCCCUUUCUUGCUUAAAACAAAAAGUGCCUCCCUACCCUCCAUAUUUAAACAACAGCUAUCUGAGAUUUAACAAUUGCACCAUUGGACAAAGUUCAAACAAUCCAGGCAGGAAAGAAUGUACAGCUGUCAAAAAACCAACCCGGUCAGAAGUGCUCCAGACAAAUCGCUGUACAUCAUCAGCUGGUUUUAAUUAACAGCCGACUUUGCACUGUUUUUCUCCCCCCUCUCCUUCUUUGGUAACUUUAAACAAAGUGAUUUGUGGUGCUCUGUCUUAUAUGCUGUCUACCCCAGUGGAAGCAGAGGAUGUUCAUGGAAAUAACUUAAGCCAAAGUUCAAAGCAGAUUAUAGCAUCUGACGGAUACCUGGAGAUUUUUAUCUUGGUCUUGGGUUAAUAAGGAGUUAUUUUAUUCAUUUUUCUUACUAAAGGACUGAGUCUUUUGUGAAGGAUGUUUGCAUGGUGGGUAUUAGUCUAGAUUGUUAUGAAUGUGAUCUCAUUUUAAGAACAUUUUUAUCCUGAAGUUAAUGAAAAAAAAAAUACUUUAGGUUAAAAAAAUACUUUAGCCACAGUCAAGAAAGAUUUUUAAAGCUUUAUUUAGUAAAAAACUUUUCUUUGUGAAUAAAGACGUACCUCAAUGGUUAAAUAUUGUGGUGACCAUCGAAUUGUAAAAGUAUAUGUAUUGCAAUAUAUCUUAGAGGAACGCAAUCUGAACCUUGAUUACAUAGAUGAGAAAAUAUCAUCACUCUAUUUACUACUUAUAGGUCAAGUGAAUAAGACUAAUUUCCAGGUCUAGAGUUUCUCCUGAAGUCAAGGAACUUGGUAUACAGAGUCACAGACUACUUAUAUAUAACAUCCAUGGAAGACAACGCUCAAAGUGAUUAGCAAACAUUUAAUAUGUUGACAUAGAAGAUAAUGUUAAAAACUCACAAUACUCUUUUACACAUGAGAAUUUUCAAGUACACCUAAUGCUCACUUUCAUAGAGAUCAGUUAGCAUAGUUAGAGCCCAGUAUCCCCCAACUACCUUGAGUAACUUUGGAUUACUUCACUGAAUGUACUUGAUUCAGGAAUGAUGCCCUAGUCAUCACACACCAAUAUUGGUCCUCCGUAGGUCUGACCAUAUUCUGGAAUAUGGAAAAACAGGGCAAUACAGUGUCUAAAGCCAGCCUCAGGGGCCAAAUCUUGGACAUACCUCCUACUUUUUUCUUAAACUUAAAUGUGUCCCCUAGAUCUCUGUGCCUUGAUUUCCCCAUCCAAAAAGUGGGGGCAAAACUAUUAUUGUCUUCUUAACAUGAUUGUGAGUAUUAAAUGUUGCUACCCAUUAA